CUACGGGUCGCACCAGUGGGGAAUCUUAGACAAUGGGGGCAACCCUGAUCUAGCCAUGCCGCGUGAGUGAUGAGGGCCUUAGGGUCGUAAAGCUCUUUCGCCUGUGAUGAUAAUGACAGUAGCAGGUAAAGAAACCCCGGCUAACUCCGUGCCAGCAGCCGCGGUAAUACGGAGGGGGUUAGCGUUGUUCGGAAUUACUGGGCGUAAAGCGCGCGUAGGCGGAUUAGAAAGUUGGGGGUGAAAUCCCGGGGCUCAACCCCGGAACUGCCUCCAAAACUGCUAGUCUAGAGUUCGAGAGAGGUGAGUGGAAUUCCGAGUGUAGAGGUGAAAUUCGUAGAUAUUCGGAGGAACACCAGUGGCGAAGGCGGCUCACUGGCUCGAUACUGACGCUGAGGUGCGAAAGUGUGGGGAGCAAACAGGAUUAGAUACCCGAGUAGUC
rnacentral:rRNA from 1 species